rfam:Acidovorax sp. KKS102, complete genome.
UUGCCCAAGGAGCGUUGCAGCGGCCCCACCGCCAUGGUGAAGCCGUCAGGCUUGGGCACUCCACAAGCUUUUCAAGCCCCACCGCAACGACGCUCACCUGUU